rnacentral:rRNA from 1 species
GCUGGCGGCGUGCUUAACACAUGCAAGUCGAGCGAGAAAGCUCUUCGGAGUGAGUACAGCGGCGAACGGGUGAGUAACACGUGGGCAACCUGCCCUUGGGAGCGGGACAACCCGGGGAAACUCGGGCUAAUACCGCAUGUCCCCCUUGGUCAUAAGACUUUGGGGAAAAGGUAGCUUCGGCCUCCGCCCUUGGAUGGGCCCGCGUCGCAUUAGCUUGUUGGUGGGGUAACGGCCUACCAAGGCAACGAUGCGUAGCUGGUCUGAGAGGACGAUCAGCCACACUGGGACUGAGACACGGCCCAGACUCCUACGGGAGGCAGCAGUGGGGAAUCUUGCGCAAUGGGCGAAAGCCUGACGCAGCAACGCCGCGUGCGGGAAGACGGCCUUAGGGUUGUAAACCGCUUUCAGGGGGGACGAAGCUUCCGAGGUUAAUAGCCUACGGGGUGACGGUACCCCCAGAAGAAGCCCCGGCUAACUACGUGCCAGCAGCCGCGGUAAUACGUAGGGGGCGAGCGUUGUCCGGAAUCAUUGGGCGUAAAGCGCGUGUAGGCGGCUUGGCAAGUCUGGUGUGAAAUCUUGGGGCUCAACCCCAAGCGUGCACUGGAAACUGCCUC